rnacentral:rRNA from 1 species
GACGAACGCUGGCGGCGUGCCUAAUACAUGCAAGUUGAGCGAUGAAGAUUGGUGCUUGCACCAAUUUGAAGAGCAGCGAACGGGUGAGUAACGCGUGGGGAAUCUGCCUUUGAGCGGGGGACAACAUUUGGAAACGAAUGCUAAUACCGCAUAACAACUUUAAACAUAAGUUUUAAGUUUGAAAGAUGCAAUUGCAUCACUCAAAGAUGAUCCCGCGUUGUAUUAGCUAGUUGGUGAGGUAAAGGCUCACCAAGGCGAUGAUACAUAGCCGACCUGGGAGGGUGAUCGGCCACAUUGGGACUGAGACACGGCCCAAACUCCUACGGGAGGCAGCAGUAGGGAAUCUUCGGCGAUGGACGAAAGUCUGACCGAGCAACGCCGCGUGAGUGAAGAAGGUUUUCGGGUCGUAAAACUCUGUUGGUAGAGAAGAACGUUGGUGAGAGUGGAAAGCUCAUCAAGUGACGGUAACUACCCAGAAAGGGACGGCUAACUACGUG